UACAGAGGUCUCAAGCGUUGUUCGGAUUCACUGGGCGUAAAGGGUGCGUAGGUGGCUUUGAAAGUUUGAUGUGAAAUCUCCGGGCUUAACCCGGAAAAUGCAUUGAAUACUCCAGAGCUGGAGGGUUGGAGGGGGGACUGGAAUUCUCGGUGUAGCAGUGAAAUGCGUAGAUAUCGAGAGGAACACCAGUGGCGAAGGCGAGUCCCUGGACAACACCUGACACUGAGGCACGAAAGCUAGGGGAGCAAACAGG
rnacentral:rRNA from 1 species